rnacentral:rRNA from 1 species
CCUACGGGUGACAGCAGUGAGGAAUAUUGGUCAAUGGCCGUAAGGCUGAACCAGCCAAGUAGCGUGAGGGAGGACUGCCCUAUGGGUUGUAAACCUCUUUUAUGCGGGGAUAAAGGUGUCCACGUGUGGAUGUUUGCAGGUACCGCAUGAAUAAGGACCGGCUAAUUCCGUGCCAGCAGCCGCGGUAAUACGGAGGAUCCGAGCGUUAUCCGGAUUUAUUGGGUUUAAAGGGAGCGUAGGUGGAUUGUUAAGUCAGUUGUGAAAGUUUGCGGCUCAACCGUAAAAUUGCAGUUGAAACUGGCAGUCUCGAGUACAGUAGAGGUGGGCGGAAUGCGUGGUGUAGCGGUGAAAUGCUUAGAUAUCACGAAGAACUCCGAUUGCGAAGGCAGCUCACUGGACUGCAACUGACACUGAGGCUCGAAAGUGUGGGUAUCAAACAGGAUUAGAUACCCUUGUAGUC